rnacentral:rRNA from 1 species
CCCUUAGAUGUUCUGGGCAGCACGCGCGCUACAAUGGUCUUCGCAAACGGAUGCAUUCUCGAAGGAGAAUGCCAAUCUUGGAAUCUAUGCCUUGGUCGGGACAGUUGCUUGCAAUUUUUCGACUCGAACCAGGAAUUCCUUGUAAUCGUGAUUCAUCACAUCACGUUGAAUACGUCCCUGCCCUUUGUACACACCGCCCGUCGCUCCUACCGAUCGAAGAGUUAGGUGAAUUGUUUUGAUCGAUAAGAUUUGACUAUGGUCAACUCUCGUUGUGAAAUUCUGUGAAUCUGACUGUUUAGAGGAAGGAAAAGUCGUAACA